rnacentral:rRNA from 1 species
UACGUAGGGGGCAAGCGUUGUCCGGAUUUAUUGGGCGUAAAGAGCGUGUAGGCGGCCUUACAGGUCAGCUGUGAAAACUCGAGGCUCAACCUCGAGACGUCGGUUGAAACCGUAUGGCUAGAGUCCGGAAGAGGAGAGUGGAAUUCCCGGUGUAGCGGUGAAAUGCGCAGAUAUCGGGAAGAACACCCGUGGCGAAGGCGGCUACUCGUGGGACGGUACUGACGCUGAGACGCGAAAGCGUGGGGAGCGAACGAGG